GGAAUAUUGGACAAUGGGCGAAAGCCUGAUCCAGCCAUGCCGCGUGUGUGAAGAAGGUCUUCGGAUUGUAAAGCACUUUAAGUUGGGAGGAAGGGCAGUUACCUCAUACGUAUCUGUUUUGACGUUACCGACAGAAUCAGCACCGGCUACCUCUGUGCCAGCAGCCGCGGUAAUACAGAGGGUGCAAGCGUUAAUCGGAAUUACUGGGCGUAAAGCGAGCGUAGGUGGUUUGUUAAGUUGGAUGUGAAAGCCCCGGGCUCAACCUGGGAACUGCAUCCAAAACUGGCGAGCUAGAGUACGGUAGAGGGUAGUGGAAUUUCCUGUGUAGCGGUGAAAUGCGUAGAUAUAGGAAGGAACACCAGUGGCGAAGGCGACUACCUGGACUGAUACUGACACUGAGGUGCGAAAGCGUGGGGAGCAAAC
rnacentral:rRNA from 1 species